CCUACGGGAGGCAGCAGUAAGGAAUAUUGGACAAUGGGCGCAAGCCUGAUCCAGCCAUGCCGCGUGAAGGAUUAAGGUCCUCUGGAUUGUAAACUUCUUUUAUAGGGGACGAAAAAAGGGCAUUCUUGUUCACUUGACGGUACCCUAUGAAUAAGCACCGGCUAACUCCGUGCCAGCAGCCGCGGUAAUACGGAGGGUGCAAGCGUUAUCCGGAUUCACUGGGUUUAAAGGGUGCGUAGGCGGGCAGGUAAGUCAGUGGUGAAAUCCUAGAGCUUAACUCUAGAACUGCCAUUGAUACUAUCUGUCUUGAAUAUUGUGGAGGUAAGCGGAAUAUGUCAUGUAGCGGUGAAAUGCUUAGAUAUGACAUAGAACACCUAUUGCGAAGGCAGCUUACUACGCAUAUAUUGACGCUGAGGCACGAAAGCGUGGGGAUCAAACAGGAUUAGAUACCCUGGUAGUCCACGCCCUAAACGAUGGAUACUCGACAUACGCGAUACACUGUGUGUGUCUGAGCGAAAGCAUUAAGUAUCCCACCUGGGAAGUACGUCCGCAAGGAUGAAACUCAAAUGAAUUGACGGCUUGGAGAGNGCGAGGACGACACGAGGGGAGGAG
rnacentral:rRNA from 1 species